UUCGCUUGUAAUGAGAGACUCUUAUGUUUAAUACCUUUUAUUUCCUUGUGUUAAACAAUAGUAUAAAGAUUGUUAAAAUCGUUAGUCUGUUAUCAAAUCUGUUAAUUAGUUGGUUAGGAGCAGUUAUUCUUAUAUGAGUAUAUAAGCUUCAUCAAUGUGUUCAUUCAACAGAACAGAUAAGGAAUAUUGAUUAAAGAAUUACUCUGUAGUUUAUCUUUCUGUUCAUACAUUUUUUGCAUAGUAUCUACCAUGGUAUCAGUCGCCUAGUCCUAGUACGUGCUUCCGCUUCCGUAUUAUGGCACCAUCAACCGAUUCUACCUCUGCUGAUCAUACGAGUCCAUCAUUUUCCAGCGCACUUCUAAUUCAAUCAUUUCCUCGCCAUGACACGGUGAAGCUAGAGGAAGGAAAUUUUGUCCAAUGGCAGCAACAUAUUCGGUUGAUAAUAGAGGGAUAUCAGUUGUAAGGAUUCUUGGAGGGCACGUUGUCUGCUCUGCCUAGGUUCGUCGCAUCUCCAGAAGGUGCUCUCACUCUAAGUCCAGAUGCAUCUAUGUUUAAUCAACAAGAUAAGUUGUCAGCCUCUUGGCUCCUCUGUACAAUUAGUUCAUCUCUUUUAUCAUGCUUUACAUCUGCUAAAUUUGCAUGCGAAAUAUGGAGCACAGCGAAUCGUCUUUUCGCUGCUUCAACUGGUGCGAAAGUAUCCCAUAUUAAACAUGACCUACACUCUACAAAGAAGGGUGAUUUAACUGUAAAAGAAUAUAUCGCAAAAAUAGAAAAUAUUUGUACAUUACUUGCAGCUUCUGGAUCGGCAGUUUCAGAAGUCGAAAAGGUAGAAGUUGUUUUGGCUGGCCUCUCGCCAGAUUUUGACGUAGUGUUGACCUUGGCCUUGUUCUUGACGGAGCCUCUUCCCUUCCAACGAUUAGUUAACGUCCUCGUAAAGUUUGAAAGUCUACAGAUGCGAGCGGCGCGUGAGGUUCCAAUGCAUGCCCAUCUAAUUGAAACAUCUUUUGUUGCUGCGGUAGUUGACUCAGUUUCACGCGAUGUACGUGGCGGAUGUUCUACGGUAGGUUUACGUGGGCGUGGAUUUCGACCACGAAUGUAGUGUCAAAUAUGCAACCGGUUCAGUCAUUUGGCACAGUGUUGCUUCUAUCGUUUCAAUCGCAACUACGGCAGCCCAAACGCUUCCACCACGACGUAAUUUUCUUCUGCGCAUGAUGGACAAGGGCUACAAGGUGAUGACUUCCCUGGCCGUUCUGGUUUUUUUGGUGGUUCUGGAUCUGGUGGUAAUUUUUGGGGAGGUUGGCCACACUUUCAAAAUUGUGGCUAUUAUCUACCGCAAGCUAGGGCUACUCCUUUUUAAUAUUCUUACCCUAAUGAAAUUGGUCAUGAAAUUGGGUUUGCUGGUGGAUCGAAUAAUGCUUGUUUUGGGUCUACUGGUGGCCCACCUGAUGUUUCUGGUUCAUAUGUUAGACCAUCCAUAGGACGUGACAUGCAGUGUGAUGUGGGACGUAAGCUGGGGCGUGAUUUGGGCCAGCGUUGUGUCGGGCCAUCUGCUGUGGUGUAUAGGUUGAGUCAUGCAAGCUAGUCCCUUGGGCAUAAUAGUGGGUAAUAUUUUGGGCCAAACGCAGGCCAGUCUCUUGGGCCUGCUGGUGGACAGAAUAGUGGGCCGAAUAGUGGGUAGGCCAAUGCUAGCCAAUAAUUUAGACUCAAUUCACUUGGGACUAAUGCCAGUUAUGUUGAUCUUGAAGGCUCUAUACAAAAUAAUUAUCUUGAAGUUUCGUGGCAGACUAAACCACGAGCACGUAUAUUUGAUUUUGACUCCUCACAAUGUGUUGGGCUACCCCCAAUCCCUAAUUUUUAUGCGUCUAAUUUUCUGGAUGCCAUGCAGUAUGAUUCCAACUUUGAUAAUACUAACUCAUAUGUUCCUAUACCGAUAGGAACCUCAUCAUGGUAUCCAGAUUCAGGGGCCAUUCAUCAUGUCUGUCAGAAUGCGUCUGGUUUAAAUGCCUCCACUCUAUAUACAAGAACUUUUUCUCUUUUAAUAGGAAAUGGGGCUUGCACUAAAAUUUCGUCUACUAGGAAUCUAUUCUACCAACAAAAAAAAAGUUAUUACAUCUUUCUAAUGUUUUGUGCGUGCCAAGCAUCCGGAAAAAUCUUAUAUCUGUCUCUCAAUUUGCUAUUGACAAUAAUGUAUUGUUUGAAUUUCACCCCUCUUAUUGUGUUAUUAAGGACAUCUAAACACAGGAAAUUUUAUUGCGGGGCUAAGUUCGUGAUGGUCUCUAUCAAUUUUCGGCCGGUUCAUCUGUUCUUUCUAAUACAAUUCCCUCUAUUAACAACACUGGGAUCCAAGAUUGUCAUUUGGAUGAUGAUGUCUUUACACUGUGGCAUAAAAGAUUUGGUCACCCUUCUCCUGCGAUUGUUAAACUUGUGCUUGACAAGUGUCUAGUUGUUUCCAAUAAAAAAUGUCUUGAUAAUGUUUGUAUUACCUGUCAGAAAGAGAAAUCACAUAGAUUGCCAUUUUCACACUUUACUACUAAAUAUAUGGAAUUGUUUGAAUUGGUUGUCUCUGAUUUGUAGAGACCAGUUUCUGUUGACUGUGGGGGUAAUUUGUAUUAUGUUUCGUUUAUUGACAUGUGUAGUUGAUUUACCUAGGUUUAUUUGAUUAAACGUAAAUCUCAAGUAGUUGAAUAUUUUUUUCAAUUUCAGAAGAUGGUCAGCACUUAGUUUGGGAAGACUAUUAAGAAAUUUCAAAGUGAUUGGGGUGGUAAGUUUCGUGCUUUUGCCUCAGUUCUAGCUAGCCAUGAGAUUCUUCGUCGUCUUUCCUGCCCCUAUACUUCAGAACAAAAUGGUGUUGCUGAGUGCAAACACAAACACAUUGUAGAGACUGGUCUUACACUUUUGGCCCAGGCUAAUCUGCCUAUGGAUUAUUGAGGUUAUACAUUCUGCAGUGCUGUGCAUCUUAUUAAUCGACUGCCCACUUCGGUCCUGAAUGGUCAGUCUCCGUAUCAGAAUCUUUAUGGUCAUGAGCCUACGUAUGAUCACUUAAGGGUGUUUGGUUAUUGUUGCUUCCGUAUUUACAUCCUUUUGUGUCACACAAACUAGAUUUUCGCUCACAACCAUGUACGUUUCUAGGGUAUAGCUCUCAGUAUAAUGGUUAUCAUUGUCUCACACCAGAGGGUAAGGUUGUUAUUUCUCGUCAUGUUGUGUUUGAUAAACGUCAGUUUUUGUUUCAUUCGCCUGCUCUGGCCACUGGUCAGUUAGUUUCUAGUUCUCCCAUAUAUGUUUCUAUAUUCCGGACCUCUUCUGUUCGGCCUACUGCAGAACCCAGCAGCACCACUGUCCCAUCACCGGCUAUACCUCUACCUCUACCUCAUGAUCCAAGUUACAAUUCUGACUGAUCUACUUCAGUUGAGUUACCAGAUACGUGUCAUCCCAAUGAGUCCAUCUCAGUUGAUUCACCGGCUGAAUUUAGGAAUAAUAUAAGGGAGCAUUGUCUUUCAAGUUCGUCCACAGAAGCUAGUCCGGUCGGUCAAUCCAGUGUGUCUCUAAUUAUUGCUUCUCUUCUUGCAGAAAAUACUCAUAUUAUGGUUACUCGGUCUAAGGCAGGAAUUGUUAAGCCUAAAACUUUGUCAAUCGACGUUGUAGAUUUUGAGCCUCGGUCUGUUGAGGAAGCUCUUGCUUAUACGAAGUAGAAAUUCACAGUUCAAGCUAAAUUGAUGCUUUAAUGGCCAACUCUACUUGGAAACUGGUUUCUCUACCUCCUGUCAGAAAGUGAUUAGGUGCAAAUGACUUUUCAAAAUCAAGAAGAAUCCUGAUGGGUCAGUUAUUCGUCGAAAAGCACAGUUGGUAGCAAAGGGAUGUUCUCAGGUUCCUAAGUGUGUCUUUAAAGAAACAUUUAGCCCAGUGGUCAAACCUGCUACUAUCUGAACCAUUUUAUUUGUUGUUGUAUCUAAUGAUUGGAAACUUCGUCAAGUCGAUGUAAACAAUGCUUUUUUAAAUGGAGACUUGAUUGAUGAAGUGUUCAUGCAGCAGCCUCCAAGAUAUGUUCAAUAUGGACCAAAUGGUGAGCCAUUGGUGUACCGUCUAACGAAAAAUUUGUACGAAUUACGGUAAGCUCCCUGUGCUUGGUUUGAAAAGUUGAAACAGUUUAUCAUCUCUAUUGGUUUUGUCUUAUCUAAAGCUGAUGCUUCAUUGUUUGUUAAAGUUUCAACCACGUCCACUGUUUAUAUCUUGGUCUAUGUGGAUGAUAUUAUUAUUACUGACAGUUCGACUGAUGAAAUAAAUUGUUUUGUUCAACAACUACAUAACAAAUUCUCUCUAAAGGAUAUGGGUGAGCUUCAUUAUUUUUUAGGAAUUGAGGUAAGUAGGUCCUCCACUGGUAGUCUUCACUUAUGCCAGCGUAAAUACAUUCAACACUUUUUUGACAAGAGUUCUCUGGCUAAUGCAAAGAGAGUUCAUACGCCAAUGAUUAAAUCUUGAAUUUGUCUAAAGAUGAAGGUGAUCAGCUUACUGAUCCUACUAAAUACAGAAGUCUAGCUGGAGCUCUUCAGUAUGUGGUUCUAAAUCGACCAGAUAUUGCCUAUGCUGUAAAUCGUGUUCAUCAAUUCAUGCAUGCACUUACUAUAGUUCAUUUGAUAGCCUUAAAACGUAUCAUGAGAUAUUUACAUGGUAUUAUCACUCAUGGGUUGGUUUUUCGACGAUCCGACAGACUAUCUUUGGUUGGAUAUGCUGAUGCCAACUGGAGUCUUGAUUUUGAUGAUCGUCGCUCUACUACAGGGUUUUGUGUCUACUUCAGUCAUACACAUGUUUCGUAGUGUUCUAAGAAACAACAAGUUGUGUCUCGGUCCAUGGCAGAUGCUAAAUAUCGAAGUCUAGCUAUAACUUCUAGUGAUAUUACGUGGUUAGUGUCUCUGUUAACAGAGUUACAAAUCAGUUCUGCUAAUCCUCCUACAGUUUGGUGUGAUAAUUCAAGUGUGGUAGCUGUUACAGCUAAUCCAGUCUUACACUCCAAAUUCGAACAUGUUGAACUUGACUUGUUUUUUAUCCCCGAAAAUGUGGCUAAUGGGUCCCUCGUUGUCGGUGAAGUGCCAGCCUGUGAUCAAAUUACUGAUAUUCUCACUAAACCAUUGUAUGUCUCUCUGUUUACUAGAUUUCAAAGUUUAAUUCGGGUCUUACCCAUUGAGAAGCUGAGUGAAUGUUAAACAAUAGUAUAAAGAUUGUUAAGAUUGUUAGUCUGUUAUCAAAUCUGUUAAUUAGGUGGUUAGGAGUAGUUAUUCUCAUAUGAGUAUAUAAACUUCAUCAAUGUGUUCAUUCAACAAAUAAGGAAUAUUGAUUAAAGAAUUACUCUAUAGUUUAUCUUUCUGUUCAUACAUUUUUUGCAUAGUAUCUAACACCUUGAACCUCUGUGAAGAAACAUACACAUAAUUAAUGACAUUAGAAUCAAUAACUAAUGACUUUAGUAAAUAUUGCAUGGGUCAAGAAGUGAUCCUUAGUUGACAGAGGCCGACGAUUGAAUGGUGCUUUGAAUUCUGACACAUGAGAUGCAUCGAGCAAGUAUGGACUUAGUGUUGGGUUCCACCAAGCCUUAAGCAAGAUGCCUUGCAUCUUAAACCAUAAUGUUUGGUGUUCAAGAUCAUUGAUGGAGAUGAUGCUUGAGACCUAUUGCUGGCAUAAGUGCCAAAUGUACUAUGAGAGUGGGUGCCCUCACUUAAGUUAAGUGAUUGGAUGUGAAUAGCUUAGUGACGCUGGACCAAGCAUAAGGCCUUUGAAACAAGGCAUUGAUGAGAACUAAGAUAGCCCACACACAAAAAAGAACAUGCUAUAGGUUGAUCAUGACUAAAGUAAUCAUGGUGCCGCAUGGAAUUGUGUUGUUUCAAGUUAAGGAACGGACGGUCUGUGACAUUAAGCCUGCAAUUGGCAUGUUUUAAAGCUAGGUUCUUUAUUCAUUUGCCAUGAAAUACCUAUGUAAUUAUCUAUCUUUUAGAGGUUUUCUAAUUACAUAAUCUCUUUGGUGUCAAUUACGUUUCUGUGUUGGAUGUUUUUGUGAACUUUGUUAUUUGCUCCUUUUUGUUGUUGGCUAUUUAAUUUGAUUUUUUAAAAGACUAUAGUGGAGAUGGAUGCAAUAAUGUUCAAGGCCUUUUGCCUACGAUUCUUACUAAA
rnacentral:lncRNA from 1 species